CAGGUGGCCCAGGGUGACUCAGAAUCAGACAUUCUCUUUGGAGACAUGGUACUGAAACACAGAAUGUAAAUUGAAACACCAAAGAACAAAAAGAUUUCAUUUUCUCACAUGCUUGUUGUGUUGGGUGGAAAAGACAAGGAAUGAAAAGAAAGGAGCUUAAAGGUGUGAGAAAUAAAGAAGAGCCCACAAAGAAGAUGAAGAAAUCAUUAGAAAGAAAAAACAAUCUUAAUGACUUUGUUCUGGAGGCAAAGGAAAUAAACAAAAUUUCAGAGAGAGAGAAAAAGAAACUGUUCAACUGUGUCAAAUACUCUUACGAGGUCUACUAACUGGAGUACUAAUAAUUGAUUAUUGGAUUUGAAAACAGAUUUUUGAAGACAUUAACACGACAGUUUCAGCAGCCUUGUAAGUGUGGUGUGGAGUGGAUUUAGGGAUAAAUUAAAGAGUAAUUUAAAACUGUCAAUGUAGACAAUCUUUUUGAGGAGUUUUACUAGAAACAGGAUUGAGAAAUGGAGUCAUAGUUUUAGAGGAAGGUGGAGCUAAGUGGAUCUUUUUUUUUAAGCACAAGAUUUCACUAUAUAGUGAUGUGAAUGCCCUGAAGUGGAGGAAAAGAUUGUCAAUUCAAAAGAGAGAGAGGUGAGAAUAGUUUUGUCCAAAUCUUUGAGUAAGUGAUAAAGAGUGGGAUCC
rnacentral:lncRNA from 1 species